CAGUGGCUCUUACAGACCGACUGAACAAGACCUGAAUGUGAUCGACUGCUUUCUCUCCAAACGGGGAAAUAUAAGUCCUCUCCCUUUCAAGCUUUCAGGAUUUCAUUCUUCUACAUGCUUUGUGUUACUAAGUAGGAUUUACUGCGGUGCUGGACCUGGCCAGAUUGAAUAGGCCCUGAGAGGGUCAAACCAGUGAAGUGGAAAGAGAAGAAUAUACAGGUCCAAAAGGGUAUGGUCCUUGCAAGCCUACAUAUUGACAUUUUCUUUUUCCUCCUAAUUUUCUGAAUAACCGCAUCGAGUACUUCAGUGCAGAAAUUAAUUGAAUGCAUCAAUUGAAAGAUAUUUAUAUCCAAGAAUGGAGAAUAAAAGUUCCCAAAUUAUUUGGGAGGUUUUUGAUGAAGA